GCACAAGCGGUGGAUGAUGUGGAUUAAUUCGAUGCAACGCGAAAACCUUACCUACCCUUGACAUGUCUGGAACCUUGGUGAGAGCCGAGGGUGCCUUCGGGAGCCAGAACACAGGUGCUGCAUGGCUGUCGUCAGCUCGUGUCGUGAGAUGUUGGGUUAAGUCCCGCAACGAGCGCAACCCUUGUCACUAGUUGCCAUCAUUUAGUUGGGCACUCUAGUGAGACUGCCGGUGACAAACCGGAGGAAGGUGGGGAUGACGUCAAGUCCUCAUGGCCCUUAUAGGUGGGGCUACACACGUCAUACAAUGGCCGGUACAGAGGGUAGCCAACCCGCGAGGGGGAGCCAAUCCCACAAAGCCGGUCGUAGUCCGGAUCGCAGUCUGCAACUCGACUGCGUGAAGUCGGAAUCGCUAGUAAUCGCGGAUCAGCAUGUCGCGGUGAAUACGUUCCCGGGUCUU
rnacentral:rRNA from 1 species